AACGUAGGUGGCGAGCGUUAUCCGGAUUUACUGGGCGUAAAGCGUGCGCAGGCGGUUCGUUGUGUCGGUGGUGAAAGCCCCGGGCUUAACCUGGGAAUGGCCAUGGAAACUGGCGAACUGGAGUGUGGCAGAGGGGGGUGGAAUUCCGCGUGUAGCAGUGAAAUGCGUAGAGAUGCGGAGGAACACCGAUGGCGAAGGCAGCCCCCUGGGCUAGCACUGACGCUCAGGCACGAAAGCGUGGGGAGCAAACAGG
rnacentral:rRNA from 1 species